GGUAGCGUGGCCGAGUGGUCUAAGGCGCUGGUUUCAGGUACCAGUCAAUUCGAUGGCGUGGGUUCGAAUUCCACCGCUGCCA
rnacentral:tRNA from 1 species